UUGGGAGAAGUCAGGACA
rnacentral:misc_RNA from 1 species